rnacentral:lncRNA from 1 species
UGACGGGGAGAGUUUAUAGGCCUGGGUAAGCUGGGUAAGGCGGGGCCUAGUGGACGGUGAGGAAGGCUGUGGGGUCUGUGGGCCAGAGGUUUCCAGGAAGCUGAAGGCUGUGGGUGCAGAGGCGUUAGAGGGAGGGAGCUGGACGAACAGGGCAUGGCCUUGAGGUGAUGAGAGAACAGAAUGUUAGAAAUGGGCAUCCAGGAGGGGCGCGGUCUUUCCUGAUGCCCAGGGAAUGACCCUGCGCUGGGGGAUGCUCGGAUGGGGAGGAGGAGAACAUCCUUGAGGACGGAGAGGCUCCGGUGGACCAGGUUUUCUAUACUCAGGGGGAGUGACUUCUACAAUGAGAGAACACAUUUUACCAGAUAUAAAACCCAGGUCCAUAAACCCAGGACAACCUAGGGAGAGACCAUGACAAGACGAUUCGGAGAAGCACAAAUACAAGAUGCUAAGGAACCUAAGCAGCUCCGCAGGAGAAAGGCCAACUGGAAAAGCAAAAGGGCCUUGUCGCCAGGCAGGGAAUUUUCCGAAGGGGGCGAGCUGAAGGCAGCAGCCCGCCCGAGAGGGGCCCAGCCGGCGCAGACGCAGAAAGAAGCCGCCUCUUUAGCGGAGAAGUCUCAGACCAGUUUUUUCAAGCACGAAGGGCGGGGCAAGAGGGCGGCUGUUCGGCUGCACGGCGCAACACUGCCACCUGCAGACCAGAGAAACCCAACGCCACCAACCCCAGCGAAAACUCCAUCUUUUCCGUGGUCGUUCGGCGCAACGACCUGGAGCUCGUGGCUCAGGAAGGCCGGCGGGAGGGAGAUGAGGACCACGGAAAGGAAGAGAAGCGGCCAGAGCGGCCCCGGCAACCGGGCUGGGGCACCGCCGCCUUCCCGCUCGCUGCCCCGGCCCCGGCCCCGGCCCCGGCCCCGGCCCGCAACCGUAGCCACAGCGGCAGGAAGUCCCUGUGCCCAGGAAGGAGGGUCCCGGGGGCGCGGCUGCGCCCCGACAGCCGGGCUCUGGGCCGGCGCACGGGCGCCCCGAGAGGCGGCUGUCAGUCUCCCUGCC